rnacentral:rRNA from 1 species
UACGUAGGGUGCGAGCGUUAAUCGGAAUUACUGGGCGUAAAGCGUGCGCAGGCGGUUCGUUAAGUCAGCUGUGAAAGCCCCCGGGCUCAACCUGGGAACUGCGGUUGAAACUGGCGAACUAGAAUCUGGCAGAGGGGGGGUGGAAUUCCACGUGUAGCAGGUGAAAUGCGUAGAUAUCGGGAGGAACACCUGUGGCGAAAGCGGCUCACUGGACCACAACUGACGCUGAGGCGCGAAAGCUAGGGGGAGCAAAACAGG